UAUGUACUCCCUCCGUCCCAAAAUUCUUGUCUUAGAUUUUUCUAGAUACAGAUGUAUCAAGUCACAUUUUAGUAUUAGAUACAUCCGUAUCUAGACAAAUCUAAGACAAGAAAUUUGGGACAGAGGGAGUACUCA
rnacentral:pre_miRNA from 1 species